GAUUCCACUUCUUAGCCACUACCUCUAAUUGACAAAACCAGUAGGUAUUCGUCAUGUGAUCAAUUAGUCUAAUUUAGCUUAAUUUCACCUUUAGUGCGUAUUUUAGUGCUUAUUUUUGGUUCAGCGACCGCAAUGAUGAUAUAUGAAUUCAGAACAUUUUUUUUAUUUUGUAUUAAAUGAAGGUUAUACAUCAACUACCACUGCUCCUAUUCACAACGUGUUUGAUCACCAAUAAUUCCUCAGUUUCCUCCUUCUGAACACAUGUUCAUACUUUGUUAACUUUGGCCUCUAAUUCAGUAAUGAUGCGUCUGGUUUUAUAGUAAUUAACUUUUAUAAAAUAUUUGGUUUUCUUUUAUGUGAGACCUGGCUGUGGACCUUGAUGAAGGAGUUUGAGAGCACUUUGCCUUCUAGCACUUAGGAAGGAGGUUGCACUUUUCGACCCAUUUGACAAAACAGCUAUCCUUAUCCAGGAUAUUGGAUUCUUAUACCUUGGAAUUAUGGUUAAAGGUAAUGUACUCUUGCACUGUUUGAAUUUGAAUAUUUCUGUCAAAUGUUUCGUCGUGGGAUUCGGAGUUGAAGGAGUUUGAUUUGGAGAAUAGAUGGUAUUGGCAUGCAGUUUAAUGUAGUCAUUGAAAAAUAGGCGAUAUGAGAAAUUAGGUUGAUUCUGUAUUUCAGAUUGUGGUCACGAUUUAUAGUUGAAGUUUUUUUUUUUUUUUUUACUUUUUUGUGUAUUAGAACUUACUAUUUUGUUGAAAAUUAGACAAUCAUAUGUGUAUAUAUAUUGCAAAUUAAUUUGUUGGUAGGUACCAAAUAAUAUCCAGAUAUGAUAUUGAGUAGUCUGGUACAUAGAAACUAAAUAAAUGACAGGUAUUGUCCCUCUUUGCUUUUCUACUUAUGUAGUUUUUGACAUCCUUCAAAUCGUCUAUUCUAAUUUUUCCAGGAGGUUGCACUUUUCGACCCAUUUGACAAAACAGGUAACUAUUAGCAUGAGUCAAAACAGUUGGGUCGAGUAAGUCUGCAAAUAUUUUAUCUUUUCAUUUGAUAUAUUAUUAGCGUGUUAUAUGACUUAAAAACUAUAUUAUAAAAAUAUAACCGAAGUCGAACCAAUUCGUCAUUUGGUUCGAACAACCAACCCACCCUCUAGAAGUAAAAAGUUCAGUUGUCCCUUCAAAUGAGCCACCACCUUCGCUUUCUAAAUGAACAUGUCUUUGUCAAUAUAGGUUUUUUAGUUGAGCAACCAAUCCUCUAGAUGUUGCCAACCCACUUGAUCCGACCCGUUUAGCCAAUUCUUCUUUUUACUAUAUUGUUUCUUUUUUUCUUUCUUUCUAGGGUUGAAUUACACGUUAUGCUGGUAACUAAACGCGGGAAGAGUUGUAAGUUGAUUUUGUUUUUCACCUAAUAAAAUGGUGUUAUGUUGUUUGGCAGGUUAUUCAUGCAUGUUUAAGCUAUUUGCCAAUCAAAGGAGAUCUUAUUGAGGCUAAAGGUGUUCACGAGCUACUUUGUUCAUUGGUCAAAAGACAAGUAUGGGCAAUCCUUUUUAUUGUUCUUCUUUACCUCUUUUUGCAUUGCUUCUAACAAACUUUGUUGUCUAUAUCACAAGUUAGACAUGGAACUGCAGCGUCCCUACAAUCGAUAUGUGCAAUAAUUGUUUCUAUAUUUGAUAUAAAUAUUUGAGUAUUCUAUUAUAUCCAUGCCCUGUGAGCUGAGGGGGCUACUCUAUUGAUUACCAGCACUCAUGAUUGGGUGAAUAGUCGUAGACAGUAUGCUUUCACGCAAAUAAGUUCCACUCUAUCCUUAUCCAGGACAUUGGAUUCUUAUAGCUUGGAAUUAUGGUUAAAGUGGAAUUUGUUCUUCGUUCUUAAGUGAGAGGGUUUGAGUCAAAAAAAAAAACGAGUACUUUUGCAGGUUGGGUUGGAAUUCUCAGCACAUUCUCUAUUGGAUGGUGGAAUAUUGAAUAUACAAGAGAUGAAUAUGACAUGGUUGGAGAUACGAAUUGAGUAAAAGUCUUGCGGCAUGAUCUGUUUACAAAUGAUGCUCUACUUUGGCUUUAGUUUCAACAAUUUAAAAUGUGUGCUUGGCGGUAGUUAAAGACGGAAGAGAAUAUUAGAGGGAAAGUCAACCACAUGAAGAAAGGAAAGAUAUUAGCUUUGUUCGAGAAUUUAGUGAAAAUGGUGUAGAUGAAGAUGUGUAC